rnacentral:rRNA from 1 species
AUCCCAUUCCGAACUCGGCCGUGAAACGCUCCAGCGCCAAUGGUACUUCGUCUCAAGACGCGGGAGAGUAGGUCGCUGCCAGGU